GGCACUGGGGGACUGCCUAACAUCCCAGGUAGUCCCCCUACAGGUACUGCACAAGCCGGCUAUUCCAGCCAUGUGGUCACGAUCACAUUGCCCAAGGUCCUGCCGGUCUGCAAUGAAAACCCAAAAUGGCUGCCACUUGCAAAGACCUGGCAUGAACACCUACUACUGUGGGUUCCGUGAGAGUGGUGGUGAGCUGUGAAAAAAAGGUGCUUCAUAUCCUGAUACCCCCAGCUAAGCCCAGAAGAGAGUAGGAAUGAAGCCAGUAAUAGAAGCGCGGCAUUGCCAACCACUGCAUAGCAACGAUACAAAGGAAUAAGUAGAAGGUUGA